rnacentral:lncRNA from 1 species
UCACGUCCCAGCCCCGCAGCCUUCGAUGUUCUAUGGGAGGGGUGAAAAGAAAAGAAAUCCAUAAGUACGGUACUUUCUGAUAUUGGCGGAAGAAGAAAACGUCGAAUUCCCAAACAAUUCGACGUUCUUUUUAAUGCUCUCAUGUUUAAAAGAAAAAAGUAAAAAGAAUUAAAAAUGUAGAAACUUUAGGCUUCCAAUACUAAGUCAAAACCCCUUCAAAUUCGACAUAACCUUUGCAAUUUAUAACAAAAAUAAAAUAAAAAAA